rnacentral:rRNA from 1 species
UACGGAGGGGGCAAGCGUUGUUCGGAAUUACUGGGCGUAAAGGGCGCGCAGGCGGCUGCUCAAGUCAGGCGUGAAAGGCCUGGGCUCAACCCGGGAAUUGCGCUUGAGACUGGGCUGGCUUGAGUGCGGGAGAGGAUGGUGGAAUUCCCAGUGUAGCAGUGAAAUGCGUAGAGGAUCGGGAGGAACAUCUGUGGCGGAAGGCGGCCACCUGGGACCAACACUGACACUGAGGCACGAAAGCGUGGGGAGGCAAACAGG